CUUUGACCAUCUUUUCUACGAAAAAAUCAAGAAGCUUUUCUUCUAGCGCCAAUCUAUUGCCGCAGGACUCGAAAUCUGGAAUAAAGUGAAUCGACUUGGGUGAGAUUAGGCUAGAGCAAUCCUCGUGAUCUGACAAAAAUUCUUUCGAUCUACAAAAUCAGUCAAGAAAUCGAAUGGAGAUCCUUCGAUUCUUGAUCCUCCGAUGCUUAAGUUAGUUCGAGUCUUGAGAAUAAGGGUGGAAAAGAGUGGAAGAGCAAAAAAAAUUGAAUGAAAUUGAAG
rnacentral:lncRNA from 1 species